GGGAGGGAAACGAGAGUUGCGAGGCAAAGGACUGGUCACAUGACCAACAGCCAGAGCUCUGUUUACAAACCAAAGAGAGAGAGAGAGAGAGAGACCCUUGUAUUGAAUUGAGAGAGGCAGAGGCAGAAAUAUAGGAACAGCAGCAGCAAUAGCAGAAGCAGCAGAGGAGGAUCGAGGCAGAUUUCUAGACCACCAUUAUGGAUUGAGACGAAGAGGGAACCCUGCCACCAUGACCAGGCCAGCUGGAGUCAUCACUUGGACGUCAAUGUCGAGAGAGGAGAAGGAGCACACACGAGGACUGCAGCACUCCCAAUCCCACAUCUCCCAAUCCUAACCCUCGGGAGCUAAUCCAGAUUUGGGAAUGUCGCGCAUGGAUUGCUGAGUGGACAAAACCGCACAGCCAGAAUCUGCACAAUCUUCUUCUCGGAAUUCUGAUCAUCUUCAUGGUUUUGUUUUUGGACGAUCCACCACAACCUCAAACCACCCCAGCGACUCGUUUGUCUUCUUUUAGCCCCAGUUUAGAGACUGAUUUUGGGCUUCCGGGCAUCGGGGUAACCUGGUAGUUUGGCCCUCAUACAGGUCCAGCCUUCUCCUGACAGGGCCUGGAUUUACUGCUGCAGUCCUGGGAGUCAGGUUUCAUGCAACCAUUCCAAUGGUGUAACGGUAAGUGUUUUCCCCCAACCUUCUGCCAAGUCAAUGUAACGCAGUCUGUAGCUUACACAGCCUGUGUGUUCCACUAUAACACUCCCCCCUCCCUUCAACUCUUUACUUACUGCUAACAGGGCUUCUGUAUUGCAAGCAUUGAUAUGCUUGAGAAAUGACGAAAUUGAAUGCGGGUUCAGUUGGGUUUUGUCGAAAGGGUGAAACGGCACUCAAAAUAAUUCAAUUUCCCAGUGUGAUGUUUAGUUAGUUAUAUAUACAGUGGGGCAAAAAAGUAUUUAGUCAGCCACCAAUUGUGCAAGUUCUCCCACUUAAAAAGAUGAGAGGCCUGUAAUUUUCAUCAUAGGUACACUUCAACUAUGACAGACAAAAUGAGAAGAAAAAAUCUAGAAAAUCACACUGUAGGAUUUUUUAUGAAUUUAUUUGCAAAUUAUGGUGGAAAAUAGGUAUUUGGUCACCUACAAACAAGUAAGAUUUCUGGCUCUCACAGACCUGUAACUUCUGACUAAAUACUUUUUUGCCCCACUGUAUAUAGGCUACAUAGCAACCAUCAUGUAACUGUAACUAACGGUACGACUAGAGGUUGUUUAGCUAUUCAAUACCUAGCCGGUCUCUGCAUAUGGUCCAUUCUACAUCUGAGAAAAUAAACUGUCUAUGUAACCAUGUUUCAAUUCUAAGACCCCCUACUCCCAUUCGCCCCUCCC
rnacentral:lncRNA from 1 species